rnacentral:rRNA from 1 species
AGUGAACGCUGGCGGUAGGCCUAACACAUGCAAGUCGAACGGCAGCACAGUAAGAGCUUGCUCUUACGGGUGGCGAGUGGCGGACGAGUGAGGAAUAUAUCGGAAUCUACUUUUUCGGGGGGGAUAACGUAGGGAAACUUACGCCAAUAUCGCAGAUGAUCUACGGGUGAAAGCAGGGGAUCUUUGGACCUUGCGCGAUUGAAUGAGCCGAUGUCGGAUUAGCUAGUUGGCGGGGUAAAGGCCCACCAAGGCGACGAUCCGUGGAUGGUCUGAGAGGAUGAUCGGCCACACUGGAACUGGAACGCGGACCAGGCUCCUGCGAGAGGCAGCAGUGGGGAAUAUUGGGCAGUGGGGGCGAGCCUGAUACAGCCAUACCGCGUGUGAGAAGAAGGCGUUCGGGUUGUAAAGCCCUUUUGUUGGGUGUAAAAAGCAGCAGGUUGAUACGCAGCUGUUCUGACGGUACCCAAUGAAUAAGCACCGGCUAACUUCGUG